AGAGGUCACAAGUCCGAGGCCGCGGCAGAAGUGCUCACGGCACGGGCCCUGUCAGAUUCCAGCGAAUCUGCAAAUUCUGCU
rnacentral:ribozyme from 2 species